rnacentral:rRNA from 1 species
UACAGAGGGUGCGAGCGUUAAUCGGAAUUACUGGGCGUAAAGCGCACGUAGGUGGCGACGUAAGUCGGGUGUGAAAGCCCCGGGCUCAACCUGGGAAUUGCAUUCGAGACUGCAUUGCUGGAGUACGGAAGAGGAAGGCGGAAUUCCCGGUGUAGCGGUGAAAUGCGUAGAUAUCUGGAGGAACACCGGUGGCGAAGGCGGCAUCCUGGACCGGCAUUGACGCUGAGGCGCGAAAGCUAGGGGAGCAAACGGG